AGUUGGGAUUUCUUUUCCAAACACUCCGAGCUGAACAUCCGCGGCUUGGCAGAGAAGCGCCCAUUAGCGCCAAUUAGCGCCAAUUAGCGCCAAUUAGACAAGAGCCGCCGCUCUCCCCUUUCUUUCCCGUCUUCUUUCCCCUUUCCUUCCCCUUCUUUUUCCCUUCCCCUUUCUCUUUUCCCUUCCCUCUCCCCCUUUUUGUCCAUUUCCCACUUUUCUUUUCUUUCUUUCUCCUCCUUUUUCCGUUUAUUCUCCCUUUCCUUGGCUGCCCCCGGAUCCCUGGAAGUGCCCAAGGCCGGGUUGCACACCGGGGCUUGGAGCACCCUGGGAUAAUGGAAGGAGUCCCUGCCCACGGCAGCUCCCUGAUGCCCUAAUUAACCUCCAAAUCCUUAAUUAGCGCCUCGUUAACCUCCCAGUCCCUCCCGUCCCCUUAACUCCCACUUUCCCCCCUCACAAUCUCCCGCGCCCGGCUCGCCCCGCGCUCGGACUACAACUCCCAUCAUCCCCCGCGCGCCAAAAAGAGCGGAACCCCCCCCCCCGCUCUGUUCUCGCAAAGCACACCGGGAGUCGUAGUCUCACCGCGCGCCCGCGCUUGGGAGCCGCGCUCUCUGAUUGGCUGCAGAGGCGGAGGGGCGGGUCCAACGCGGCGCCGCGCGCCGCUCGACCAAUGGCAGUCUAGGUCCCGUUGAUUGACGCGGCGCUCAGCCAAUGGGAGCGGAGCGCGGGCGGUUCGAAGGCGCGCGGCGGGAAGGCGGGCGGCGGCCAUGGCGGAGGCGGCGCUGAGGUGAGAGAGCGGCGCCGCGGCUCUGAGGGGGCUCGGGGGGCUNUUCCAUGGAAAACCCCCCCGGAAUUCCCAGGAUUCCGAUUCCAGCCUGGAAUUCGCUCCAAGGGGAUCCCGAUCCCGAUCCCGUUCCCGAUCCCAUUCCCGCUUUUCCAGAGGGGCCCAGGGAGCUGCUGAUCCCGGGAAUCCGGGAUGGGAAUGUCCCAGGGAAUCCUGGGAUGCUUCGGGCGGGGCCGGAGCCCCGAUCCCAUUCCCAGGGCCGGGAAUUCCCCAUCCCGGAUUUCUCCUCGCUCCGCCCAUCCCUGCCCCUGGCUGCUGCUCCCUUCGCUGCUGGAAUUCCCAGAUCCCGGAAUUCCGAUGGCUCCGGAAGCAGCAGACGGCUCCGAUCCCUUCCGAUCCCAUCCCCUCGGGGCUUUUCCUGGAGUUUUCCCUCAGGAUUUCCCGGGAAUUCUCUGUCCUGGGAACGCGCUGAACUCCUGCCUGCAUUCCCGGCUUUUCCCUGGGGAUUUCCCUGUUCUUCCUACUUUUUCCUGAAUUUUCCCUGCUUUUUUCCCGGAUUUUCUCACUUUUUCCCGGCUUUUCCCGCCUUUCCCGUGUUUCCCAGGCCUCUGGAGGAGCUCCCGGCUCCGUUUGGGAUUGGCCCCUCCUGUGGAAAAGGCGCUGCCAGGAAAUCCCGGGAAGCGCCGGAGCUGCCCCGGGAUCAGCUGAUCAUUGUGAGCUUCCCGCCAGGAAUUCGGGAUGGGGGAAUCCGGGAAUCCCCUGGGAUAACCCUGGGACAAUCCAAGGGAUUGUUGGGAGAGGAUGGGGAGAGCGGGAAUUCUGGGGGUGGGAAUUGGGAAUUCCGGGAGCGGGAACUGGGAAUUCUGGGGGUGGGAAUUGGGAAUUCUGGGGGCGGGCAGCGGGAAUUCCCGGCAGGAUCCCACCCCUGUUUCCCAGCCCCUUUCAUUUUCCCGGGAAUGCCGNCCUCAUUCCCAGAUCCAAUCCCUCAUUCCCUCUUUUUCCGCAGCUCCGGCUCCGAAUUCCAGACCCCGGUGACCAAGCGGCUCCGAGCCUUUCCCGGGAUUCCGUCGCCAUCCCGGCAGCAGCCGCCGCUCUCUUCCCGGCCCCAGUGGGAUCGCAGCGGGAAUCGCUCCGGCCCGGGAGCCGAGGAGGGCGAGGCCGUUCCCGGGAAAGCGGCGCAUCCCAGGAGAUUGGACAUCCCGGCCCUUCCCGGGAAUUCCCAGCCGCAUUCCCAGAAUUCCCAGCCGCAUUCCCACGUCCCCGUGGCAGCUUUUUAUGGGAAAAGGACCUACCUGGAUCCUCUGGAGAGGAAACGGCUCCGGGAGCUGCUGGGAGCGGGCGGCGGCAGCGGGGCCGGGAAUAUCCCGGGAAAACCCGGCGGGAAUCCCAGCGGGAAUGGCAGCAGGAAUCCCAGCGGGAAUGGCAGGAAUCCCAGCAGGAAUCCCAGUGGGAACAGCAGGAAUCUCGGCAGGAAUAGCAGAAAUCCCAGCAGCAAUCCCAGCAGGAAUAGCAGGAAUCUCAGCAGGAAUCCCGGCCGGAAUCCCGGCGGGCAGCGCGGCUCCAAAGGCACAGCCGACGCCGGGCGCGUUCCCAAGGCCAAGGCCGGCGUUCCGGAGGGGACGGGCGGCGGGAAGGGCCGGAAUUCCGAGCGGCCGGAGGCGGCGCCGCGGGUGCUGCUGGGCCGGGGGGCGCGGCCAGCGCUGAGGCUCCCGCUGGGAUCGGCCUUCUUCAGCUCCGGGAGCCGAUCCCGAUCCCGGAAAAAGCCCGGAGAGGCCCGAGCUGCUCCGGGAAAGGCUCAGCCGGGAGAAUCCGCCCCCCGGGAAAAGGCGCAGGAGAGGCGGGAAUCGGGAAGGAUUGCGGAGGCUCGGGAAGAGGAGAAGGAAAACUGGGAAAGCAACGUGGGAGAGGCUGCACGGGGCGGGAACGGCAACGGGAACAGCGGGAAUGGCACCGGGAAUGGUGCUGGGAAUGGCACAGGGAACAGCACUGGGAAUGGUGCCGAGAAGAGCGAGAACGGUACUGGGAAUAACGGGAACGACGCUGGGAAUGGCACCGGGAACAGCACCAGGAACGGCGCCGGGAAUUGCGGAAAUGGCACCGGGAAUUGCGGGAACAGCACCGGGAGUGGGAAUGGCACCGGGAACAGCGCCAGGAACGGCACCGGGAAUUGCGGGAACGGCACCGGGAAUUGCGAGGCCGGAGCGGCCGGAGGCAGGAAUGGGGUGAGAAAUCCUGGGAGAAUCCAGGGAAAUCCAGGGGGGGAUCUGGGGGAGAUCCAGGAGGNAGGAGGGAUCCAGGAGGGGAAUCCAGGGGGGCUCCAAGAGGAAUCCAGGAGGGAUCCAGGGGUGUUCCCGAAUCCCGGCUGUGGGAAGGGCUUGGGGCGAUUCCUCGUCGGGAGCGCUGGGAGGGAAUUUACCUCGGAAUUCCGGGGGGGGUUCCUGGAGGAAUCCUUGGGAAUUCCGGUGGGGUUCCUUUGGGAUUCCUUUGGGAAUUCCCGUGUGAUUCCCGCACUUCCCAAGGCUCUCCGUGCCCCGAGCGAUUCCCUGGCUUCCGGCUGA
rnacentral:lncRNA from 13 species